GGGACACAGAGGGGGCUCCGAGACCGGGAUUGAUUCGGGGCAAAUAUUUGAUGGAUCAAUCCAAGGGUGACCAGCUGCUUCUCACACCCAGCAGCUCCGGAAAGCAUUCUUUAUGCUGCCUUCAUCAUACAGCCUACAGCUUACUCACUCAGUAAGGCAGAAUGAUACCAUUGAACAAGCCACUCCAAGGACCCAGUCUGUUCUCAUUCGAAACAGUUCUGACAAGCAGACCGAAGGUUCGGUAAAUGAAUAACUCCAGCCACAUUAAAUGAAAGGGUAAUUGUCCCAGUUACUGAACAGACACCAGGUGCUAGCUACAGCCCAUUAAUGCCCUAAAACAGCUGACGGUGCAACAGCUAAAGUUAUAGUACUCAGUUUCUUGAAAUAAGUUUGAAUAUUAAGAAAAAGGUUCUUGUAAAGAGUCUUACCAUCAUCACCAUAUUUUUCAGCAUAAAAAAUAAGUGUGUAAUACCAAAGCAUAAAGAGGAAAAGAAGCAUUUAAACCUGGAAGGGAAGGUUAGCUAGCUUUAGGUAAUGCCUUCUCUUAUGCCUAGUACAAAAUAGAUUGCUCACGGCCUAUUAAUCAGAGUGCUAACAAUUGGGGCAAAUAAAUUUACACUUUGUAGCUAACUUUUUAUAACAAAAGUUAAAAUUACAAGUCAAUGGCAAGUAAGUCAAAACAAACUGUCCUUUGUUUUUUCUUCAUAUAUUCCCCAUUGCCCUAAUUAUAUCAGAGCAGCAAUUGAACUUGAUAAAAUGGAAUACAAUGAAUAACAAUAUUCAAGCUGUCCUGAGAGACAAGCUAGCCUGAGAGAUGUGGGCGGCACGGUGGUACAGUGGUUAGCACUGCUGCCUCACAACGGCAGAGACCCGGGUUCAAUUCCCGCC